rnacentral:rRNA from 1 species
AUGGUAAACAUGGAGGUAUUGUCCAAUGUCAAGGCACGGACGAGACAAGAUAUGAAAGAUAUUGGAAAGUUGUGGCAGCUCAGGAAGCUUGGUGUGGUUAUUCAAUACAAGGAGCCACACCUCAGGAAUUUUCUUCGAGCUAUCAGUGAUCUGCAUGAGUGCCUGAAGUCUCUGUCAAUCACUCUUCCCAAUAUAGAGGACAACAAAGAGAUCAGAGAUUGGGUUCUUGAACACUAUAAAAACUCUCCCAAGCUUCUCGAGAGCCUAAGCAUUACUGGAACCACACAAACAGUGCAACUUCUUCGGUUGUUGACCAGAGAUAUUGACCAACUCCAACUUCGCAAGGUAACUCUAUCUGGUACCCGGCUGUAUCAGCCUGAUCUGAAGGUCCUUGGCAAGCUUCCCAAAUUAAUAUGUCUCAGGCUCCGAGAUAACGCAUACAUCGAUAGCAACCUCACCUUCAACAAUGAUGAAUUCGAAAAUCUCAAGUGCUUUCUUAUUGAGGGUUCCAACAUAACUGCCCUCAGCUUUGGAGGUGGAGCACAUAAACUCGAGAAAAUCGUUUUGUGCUCCACCGAUGGACUGUCAAUUUCUGGAGUCGAAGACCUUCUGGAACUGAAGGAUGUCGAGUUGAAGAACAGCAAUAAGUUAUCAUUGUUUGACAAGGCCAAAAACAUAUCCAAGGUGACUCUUUGGCAUACCUCUCUGAGUCAAUAUGAGGUAGAGAUUCUCGCCAAGAUACCUAACAUGCGUAACCUAGUACUCAAGGACAUAUUUUGUGUACAAAGCCAGCUUAUCUUAUACAAAGAUGACUUCCCAAAGCUCAACCUUCUUACAGUCGACUUCUCUGUCACCCCCAAGACUAUCAUUACCGACGGAUCAGCUCCUAAGCUCGAGAAAAUCAUCUGGUCCUUCACAAAGGACACGGUGGGUACUCUCUCCAUCUCUGGCACUGACAUCCUUCCAAACCUGAAGGAGCUCGAGAUCAAUGGUGAUUUUAUCCCUAGGGAGGUGGAAGAAGCAUUGAAGAAACACAAGAACAAACCCAAGUUUACAUACAACAAACCGGAAAACCAAUACCAGGAAGCCGGAAACAUACCAGAAAAGAAAGAUCCUCCAAGAUUCUCAUUUUUGAGGAAGAAAGAGGAUUGA